rnacentral:rRNA from 1 species
GAAACCCGGUGAUCUAGCCAUGGGCAGGUUGAAGGUUGGGUAACACUAACUGGAGGACCGAACCGACUAAUGUUGAAAAAUUAGCGGAUGACUUGUGGCUGGGGGUGAAAGGCCAAUCAAACCGGGAGAUAGCUGGUUCUCCCCGAAAGCUAUUUAGGUAGCGCCUCGUGAAUUCAUCUCCGGGGGUAGAGCACUGUUUCGGCAAGGGGGUCAUCCCGACUUACCAACCCGAUGCAAACUGCGAAUACCGGAGAAUGUUAUCACGGGAGACACACGGCGGGUGCUAACGUCCGUCGUGAAGAGGGAAACAACCCAGACCGCCAGCUAAGGUCCCAAAGUCAUGGUUAAGUGGGAAACGAUGUGGGAAGGCCCAGACAGCCAGGAUGUUGGCUUAGAAGCAGCCAUCAUUUAAAGAAAGCGUAAUAGCUCACUGGUCGAGUCGGCCUGCGCGGAAGAUGUAACGGGGCUAAACCAUGCACCGAAGCUGCGGCAGCGACACUAUGUGUUGUUGGGUAGGGGAGCGUUCUGUAAGCCUGUGAAGGUGGCCUGUGAGGGUUGCUGGAGGUAUCAGAAGUGCGAAUGCUGACAUAAGUAACGAUAAAGCGGGUGAAAAGCCCGCUCGCCGGAAGACCAAGGGUUCCUGUCCAACGUUAAUCGGGGCAGGGUGAGUCGACCCCUAAGGCGAGGCCGAAAGGCGUAGUCGAUGGGAAACAGGUUAAUAUUCCUGUACUUGGUGUUACUGCGAAGGGGGGACGGAGAAGGCUAUGUUGGCCGGGCGACGGUUGUCCCGGUUUAAGCGUGUAGGCUGGUUUUCCAGGCAAAUCCGGAAAACCAAGGCUGAGGCGUGAUGACGAGGCACUACGGUGCUGAAGCGACAAAUGCCCUGCUUCCAGGAAAAGCCUCUAAGCAUCAGGUAACAUCAAAUCGUACCCCAAACCGACACAGGUGGUCAGGUAGAGAAUACCAAGGCGCUUGAGAGAACUCGGGUGAAGGAACUAGGCAAAAUGGUGCCGUAACUUCGGGAGAAGGCACGCUGAUAUGUAGGUGAAGCGACUUGCUCGUGGAGCUGAAAUCAGUCGAAGAUACCAGCUGGCUGCAACUGUUUAUUAAAAACACAGCACUGUGCAAACACGAAAGUGGACGUAUACGGUGUGACGCCUGCCCGGUGCCGGAAGGUUAAUUGAUGGGGUUAGCGGUAACGCGAAGCUCUUGAUCGAAGCCCCGGUAAACGGCGGCCGUAACUAUAACGGUCCUAAGGUAGCGAAAUUCCUUGUCGGGUAAGUUCCGACCUGCACGAAUGGCGUAAUGAUGGCCAGGCUGUCUCCACCCGAGACUCAGUGAAAUUGAACUCGCUGUGAAGAUGCAGUGUACCCGCGGCAAGACGGAAAGACCCCGUGAACCUUUACUAUAGCUUGACACUGAACAUUGAGCCUUGAUGUGUAGGAUAGGUGGGAGGCUUUGAAGUGUGGACGCCAGUCUGCAUGGAGCCGACCUUGAAAUACCACCCUU